ACAACUAGAAGGACCCACAACUAAGAAUAUACAACUAUGUACUGGGGGGCUUUGGGGAGAAAAAGGAAAAAAAUAAAAUUAAAAAAAAAAUUCACUGGAUAGGAUCAAUAGCAGAAUGGGGAGGACACAGGAAAGAAACAGCUUGAAGUCAGAUCAACAGGAAUUAUUCAAUAUGAACAACAAAGACAAAAAAAAAAAAAAAUAGGAAAAAAAUUCCCAACCUUGACAAAACACAUAUGCCUACAGUUCCAUUAGCUCAGUGAACUCCAAACAGGACAAAGCCAAGAAAAUCCAUGUGCAGACAUAUCAUAAUCAAACUGCUGACAUCUAAAGACAGAAUUCUUGAAGGCAACCAGAGAAAAACAAUGACGGGAGAACAAUCUGAAUGAUCACAGAUUUUUCAUCAGAAACCAUGGAAGCUAGAGGAAGAGGAAGAACAUUUCUAAAGUGCCGAAACAAAAAACUGCCAAUCCAGAAUUCUAUAUCUAGGGAGAAUGUCCUUCAGCAACGAAGGUGAAAUAAAGAUAGCCUCAUAUGAAGAAAAGCUGAGAAAAUUCAUAGCCAGCAAACCUGUUCUAACUGAAUGGGACUAAAGGAAGUUCUUCAGACAUAAAAGAAAUGAUACCAGAGGGAAGCUUGGAACAUCAGGGUGGCAGUGUACUCAGCUCCCAGUGAUGGAUCACGGAAGGUUAAAUACAGUCACAACAAUUCUGUUUUCUAGUCAUCUAACCUGAUGGCAGCAAGGGAUGAUAAAGUGACCUAGUACUGACCAAUGAGCUGUAAGGAGAUGUCUGCUGGGUACUUCUAGGGGAUCUUUUCCUCUUCAGUUAAAAAAAAGAAACACAGAGAAGUACCAGUCACCUCUUCCCACCCCCUGCCCCCCUUCUUCCUGCUUCGAACACAGGUAUGAUGCCAGGAGUGGCAGCAGCCAUCUCAUGCCCACAGGAUAAAGGCCAAGAGAACUGCUGAGACGCUGGGCCUGACACUGCUGAGCUGCUGAACCCCACUGGGCUGCCACCUACCACCAGAUUUGUUGUUACAUGAGAAAAAUGAACUCCUCUUUGUUUAACUACU